UCCAUGCGGAGGACGAUCUCGGGGUUUUAAAGGGCAGCGAGGAAGGGUUUUUCGCGUGUGUAAUGUUGUGGAGCGUCUCGGGAUGUGUGUCCCGUGUAAAGGUCACAUCUAUUGGAAAAUAACAAAGGUGACUUCCUACUCCAGGACGUGGAGGAGGGAGGGAGACAAAGCAAGAAACUACAGAUUAACAACUCUCAUAGAAAAAAUGCUGAAAUCUUCAAGAGGAUAUAAUAAAGCAUUUGAAAACCUAAAUGCAAUCAUGUAACAUCAACGUGGCUUUAUGAAAAGGAAAUUAGAUUUGACUAACUUUUUGGAGAUUUGACAAUGUUAUGUAACAAAUAAUGUGGAUAAAUGGAGCUUGUGGCUGUGCUGUAGAAGUUUGAGAAGGCAUUUGAAUGGUGCCACAUAAGAUGUGGAAGCAGAUGUAGGCCAUUGAGCCUGCUGCACUAUUUAGUGAGAUCAUGACUGUGCCAUCUCCAUGUACCUGUAUAUUUUACUUUUUCUGUUCAUGAUCCAAUUCCCUCUUGAAUGCCUCAAUUGAAUCUGCCUUCACCCCUCCUUGCCAAAUGCUAAAUACUGCUGCAUUUUAAAAAAGGUUUUUCUCAAGUUAUCAUGGCUUUAUUUUUGUUCAUCAUGUGAAAUCUGUGUAUUCUUGCUUUCAAUAUUUCCACCAAUAAAAAGAGAUGAUCCCU